GCGGGUCUUAGUCAGCUUGGAGAGUACAAGCUUCCCAAGCUUGGUGUUGCGGGGUCGAAUCCCGGUGGCCGCCCCA
rnacentral:tRNA from 1 species